rnacentral:rRNA from 1 species
AUAUUGGGCAAUGGGGGCAACCCUGAUCCAGCCAUGCCGCGUGUGUGAAGAAGGUCUUCGGAUUGNAAAGCACUUUAAGUUGGGAGNAAGGGCUUUAGGCUAAUACCCUGAAGUUUUGACGUUACCCACAGAAUAAGCACCGGCCAACUCCGGUCCAGCAGCCGCGGUAAUACAGAGGGUGCAAGCGUUAAUCGGAAUUACUGGGCGUAAAGCGCGCGUAGGUGGUUCAGUAAGAUGGGUGUGAAAUCCCCGGGCUUAACCUGGGAACUGCUUUCAUAACUGCUGAGCUAGAGUACGGUAGCGGGUAGUGGAAUUUCCUGUGUAGCGGUGAAAUGCGUAGAUAUAGGAAGGAACACCAGUGGCGAAGGCGACUACCUGGACUGAUACUGACACUGAGGUGCGAACGCGUGGGGAGCAAACA